AUUGAACGCUGGCGGCAGGCCUAACACAUGCAAGUCGAGCGGAUGAAGGGAGCUUGCUCCUGGAUUCAGCGGCGGACGGGUGAGUAAUGCCUAGGAAUCUGCCUGGUAGUGGGGGAUAACGUCCGGAAACGGGCGCUAAUACCGCAUACGUCCUGAGGGAGAAAGUGGGGGAUCUUCGGACCUCACGCUAUCAGAUGAGCCUAGGUCGGAUUAGCUAGUUGGUGGGGUAAAGGCCUACCAAGGCGACGAUCCGUAACUGGUCUGAGAGGAUGAUCAGUCACACUGGAACAGAGACACGGUCCAGACUCCUACGGGAGGCAGCAGUGGGGAAUAUUAGACAAUGGGCGAAAGCCUGAUCCAGCCAUGCCGCGUGUGUGAAGAAGGUCUUCGGAUUGUAAAGCACUUUAAGUUGGGAGGAAGGGCAGUAAGUUAAUACCUUGCUGUUUUGACGUUACCAACAGAAUAAGCACCGGCUAACUUCGUG
rnacentral:rRNA from 1 species